CUUGUGAACCGUGUCAGGUCAGGAAUGGAGCAGCACUAAGCAAGAGCUCUUGUGUGCCGCAAGGGUGCCUGGGCCGAGUUAACUGCCAGGGUAACGUUUAUGGUCAGGAUUCAAAGCAGGAUGUCCU
rnacentral:SRP_RNA from 1 species